rnacentral:lncRNA from 1 species
CGCAACUGGGGAACUCACUUGUCUUGAGUGGCUCUUUCCUUUCAGUGGAAGGGUCCCUUAUGUCCCUUCCCUACUUAAAUGCAUGUAGGCCCUCAGAAACACUUCUCCAAGGUUUAACUCCAAGACUGCGAUGAAAGACGUUUGCUUCGUCCCCGAUCUCCGUCAUUCAAGCUGGAAGGGGAAAGGAAAAGGGGAGAAGCAGAGGGAGCCACAUCUGGAACCUAGUCCAUGGGUCCUGGACAGGCGGCUGAGGGAGGUAGGAAUAUCCCGGUGUUGGAAGAAUGGGGAACUGAAGAAGAGACACGUCAUAACGCCACAGACACACAUAACACCAAGAGUUCAGAAGUCAACUGAAUUUAUACCAUUUGUAAGAGAAGAUCAAAGAGUUGCCUAAGAAGGGGAGCCCAGCUGUUCCCUGCAUGCAUCUGGAGUACAGACAGC